rnacentral:rRNA from 1 species
CAGUCGCCGCGGUAAUACAGAGGGUGCGAGCGUUAAUCGGAUUUACUGGGCGUAAAGCGUGCGUAGGCGGCUUCUUAAGUCGGAUGUGAAAUCCCUGAGCUUAACUUAGGAAUUGCAUUCGAUACUGGGAAGCUAGAGUAUGGGAGAGGAUGGUAGAAUUCCAGGUGUAGCGGUGAAAUGCGUAGAGAUCUGGAGGAAUACCGAUGGCGAAGGCAGCCAUCUGGCCUAAUACUGACGCUGAGGUACGAAAGCAUGGGGAGCAAACAGGAUUAGAUACCCCCGUAGUCCAUGUCUCUUAUAC